CCCUACCCCUCGUUAGAGGUCACGCCCCCGGAACUGAGUGACACAAUUAAAGUUUGUCUACCCCACCAGAGUUCCUUAAUCAAAGGAAAAUGUCAUGAAGCAAUUCAAGGAGUACGGCGUUCAAGAGAAAACAUUGUCUGCAUGCCAAAAACCACUCACUUUGUCAACGUCGCUCUUGGAAAGCAGGCCAGAUUAAGCAGCACUUAUGAC